AUUGAACGCUGGCGGCAUGCCUAACACAUGCAAGUCGAACGGUAACGCGGAGAGCUUGCUCUCUGGCGACGAGUGGCGGACGGGUGAGUAAUACUUGGGAAUCUGCCCAGUAGUGGGGGACAACAUUCGGAAACGGAUGCUAAUACCGCAUACGCACUACGGUGGAAAGUGGGGGAUCUUCGGACCUCACGCUAUUGGAUGAGCCCAAGUCGGAUUAGCUUGUAGGUAGGGUAAUGGCCUACCUAGGCGACGAUCCGUAGCUGGUCUGAGAGGACGAUCAGCCACACUGGGACUGAGACACGGCCCAGACUCCUACGGGAGGCAGCAGUGGGGAAUAUUGGACAAUGGGCGCAAGCCUGAUCCAGCAAUGCCGCGUGUGUGAAGAAGGCCUGCGGGUUGUAAAGCACUUUCAGUAGAGAAGAAAAGCCUAGGGUUAACACCCCUGAGUCUUGACGUAACCUACAGAAGAAGCACCGGCUAACUCCGUG
rnacentral:rRNA from 1 species